CUUGAGAUAAUUUUGAGGAUAAUUUUGACAGUGGAAAUGUUUUAUGAUAUGAGGAAUAUAAAAAUAGAUCAUUUAAUUCACAGAAUAGUUGAAGGACACAGCAAGGUUUCUCCUCUGCCAACCCCUCCUGGACCAUUGUCAGCAGUUGAACGACAAAGGCUGUGAAUCUGCAUCCUAGUCUUAGCAGUCCCUCUGAUUCUCAUGAUGAGCUCACCUGCACAGCCUGAAAUGAGGUCUUACUGUGUUGCCCAGGCUGGUAUCAAACUCCAGUGAUCAAGUGGUCCUCCUACCUCAGCCUCCCAAACAGAUAUGACAGCUGCAUAGAUUCAACCUACUAUGAAAAGCCAAAACAUGGAAUAUUACACUAAUUAAACGGUUACACAACAGAACAUGGAAUGUGCGACACUUCAUCUUGGGAUGCAAAUUUUUGUGCUAAAAAAAACUGAGAAAAACAAAAAGAAAAACAUGUAU
rnacentral:lncRNA from 1 species